UGGGGAAUAUUGGGCAAUGGGGGAAACCCUGACCCAGCAACGCCGCGUGAAGGAAGAAGGCCUUCGGGUUGUAAACUUCUUUUACCAGGGACGAAGGACGUGACGGUACCUGGAGAAAAAGCAACGGCUAACUACGUGCCAGCAGCCGCGGUAAUACGUAGGUUGCGAGCGUUGUCCGGAUUUACUGGGUGUAAAGGGCGUGUAGGCGGAGAAGCAAGUUGGGAGUGAAAUCUAUGGGCUCAAACCCAUAAAACUGCUCUCAAAAACUGUUUCCCUUGAGUAUCGGAGAGGCAAGCGGAAUUCCUAGUGUAGCGGUGAAAUGCGUAGAUAUUAGGAGGAACACCAGUGGCGAAAGGCGGCUUGCUGGACGACAACUGACGCUGAGGCGCGAAAGCGUGGGGAGCAAACAGGAUUAGAUACC
rnacentral:rRNA from 1 species